UACGUAGGAUCCUAGCGUUAUCCGGAUUUACUGGGCGUAAAGGGUGCGCAGGCGGGCUUGUAAGUCAGGGGUGAAAUCUCAUCGCUUAACGGUGAAACUGCCUUUGAUACUAUAAGUCUUAAGUUUGGUAGAGAUCCGUGGAAUUCCGAGUGUAGCAGUGAAAUGUGUAGAUAUUCGGAAGAACACCAGUGGCGAAGGCAGCGGAUUGGGCCAAUACUGACGCUCAGGCACGAAAGCAUGGGGAUCAAACAGG
rnacentral:rRNA from 1 species